AGGCAUAAGAGCAGCUACCAUGCAGUCGAGCGGUAGCACAGAGAGCUUGCUCUCGGGUGACGAGCGGCGGACGGGUGAGUAAUGUCUGGGAAACUGCCUGAUGGAGGGGGAUAACUACUGGAAACGGUAGCUAAUACCGCAUAACGUCGCAAGACCAAAGAGGGGGACCUUCGGGCCUCUUGCCAUCAGAUGUGCCCAGAUGGGAUUAGCUAGUAGGUGGGGUAACGGCUCACCUAGGCGACGAUCCCUAGCUGGUCUGAGAGGAUGACCAGCCACACUGGAACUGAGACACGGUCCAGACUCCUACGGGAGGCAGCAGUGGGGAAUAUUGCACAAUGGGCGCAAGCCUGAUGCAGCCAUGCCGCGUGUAUGAAGAAGGCCUUCGGGUUGUAAAGUACUUUCAGCGGGGAGGAAGGUGUUGAGGUUAAUAACCUCAGCAAUUGACGUUACCCGCAGAAGAAGCACCGGCUAACUCCGUGCCAGCAGCCGCGGUAAUACGGAGGGUGCAAGCGUUAAUCGGAAUUACUGGGCGUAAAGCGCACGCAGGCGGUCUGUCAAGUCGGAUGUGAAAUCCCCGGGCUCAACCUGGGAACUGCAUUCGAAACUGGCAGGCUAGAGUCUUGUAGAGGGGGGUAGAAUUCCAGGUGUAGCGGUGAAAUGCGUAGAGAUCUGGAGGAAUACCGGUGGCGAAGGCGGCCCCCUGGACAAAGACUGACGCUCAGGUGCGAAAGCGUGGGGAGCAAACAGGAUUAGAUACCCUGGUAGUCCACGCCGUAACGAUGUCGACUUGGAGGUUGUGCCCUUGAGGCGUGGCUUCCGGAGCUAACGCGUUAAGUCGACCGCCUGGGGAGUACGGCCGCAAGGUUAAAACUCAAAUGAAUUGACGGGGCCCGCACAAGCGGUGGAGCAUGUGGUUUAAUUCGAUGCAACGCGAGAACCUUACCUACUCUUGACAUCCAGAGAACUUAGCAGAGAUGCUUUGGUGCCUUCGGGAACUCUGAGACAGGUGCUGCAUGGCUGUCGUCAGCUCGUGUUGUGAAAUGUUGGGUUAGUCCCGCACGAGCGCAACCCUUAUCCUUUGUUGCCAGCGGUCCGGCCGGGAACCUCGA
rnacentral:rRNA from 1 species